AUGGACAAGCGUCCCCGGCAGGCAUAUGUUGUUGUUCACAAUGUUGACUCGGACACAGUUGAAGAAAGCACUUCAGACGGUGAUGCUGAAGAAGAGAUGAUAGAUGGAGACAUGUCAGAUGUGGAUGAAGACGGUGACAACAUAAAGAUCGAGUAUACAAGGGGUCUAACUCUGAAUGAUGCACAGCAGGACAUUCUCAAUGAACUUGUGCUCAGCUUCAAGUCCAAGUUUUUAGGAGUGUCUUUUGUACACUGUCUUACUACAACCGACACUCAAGUUGGACAAAUGAAAGUGCCAGAGAGGGUUGCUACAAGCUUGAACAUCCCUAAAGAAGGGCUGGCUGGGGUUCGUCUAAGUAGUGGGGAGGCAAAGACUCGCGUUGAAUACAACACGUCUACUGAUGGAGGUAUAGCCUUCAACAAAAAGCAAUGGAGGCGUUUCCUUUCAAAGACUCCCCUGGAGACCAAUGACUGCAUCUUCAUGUUCUUCAAGGCACUAACCUGA
rnacentral:rRNA from 1 species